CUCCCAAGUUCCCAUUUUCCCACACAUCAUUACAUUUCUUCCCAGCUACAUAAACCCCUAAUUUUAGUCAGUCAAGGGGAUGGAUUCAAGACUGAUCUCCCACCUCCUCAGCUGCAGCACCCAAUUAAAGCCUUCUUCCCUGGCAAUACUCAUCACCUCAGCCAUUGGCUUUCUGUGUGGCAAGCAGCAGACCUAGACCAUAU
rnacentral:lncRNA from 1 species